GCUGUGGAUUGUCCUUUGGACAAUGGUAGGAGAGCGUUCUAAGGGCGUUGAAGCAUGAUCGUAAGGACAUGUGGAGCGCUUAGAAGUGAGAAUGCCGGUGUGAGUAGCGAAAGACGGGUGAGAAUCCCGUCCACCGAUUGACUAAGGUUUCCAGAGGAAGGCUCGUCCGCUCUGGGUUAGUCGGGUCCUAAGCUGAGGCCGACAGGCGUAGGCGAUGGAUAACAGGUUGAUAUUCCUGUACCACCUAUAAUCGUUUUAAUCGAUGGGGGGACGCAGUAGGAUAGGCGAAGCGUGCGAUUGGAUUGCACGUCUAAGCAGUAAGGCUGAGUAUUAGGCAAAUCCGGUACUCGUUAAGGCUGAGCUGUGAUGGGGAGAAGACAUUGUGUCUUCGAGUCGUUGAUUUCACACUGCCGAGAAAAGCCUCUAGAUAGAAAAUAGGUGCCCGUACCGCAAACCGACACAGGUAGUCAAGAUGAGAAUUCUAAGGUGAGCGAGCGAACUCUCGUUAAGGAACUCGGCAAAAUGACCCCGUAACUUCGGGAGAAGGGGUGCUCUUUAGGGUUAACGCCCAGAAGAGCCGCAGUGAAUAGGCCCAAGCGACUGUUUAUCAAAAACACAGGUCUCUGCUAAACCGUAAGGUGAUGUAUAGGGGCUGACGCCUGCCCGGUGCUGGAAGGUUAAGAGGAGUGGUUAGCUUCUGCGAAGCUACGAAUCGAAGCCCCAGUAAACGGCGGCCGUAACUAUAACGGUCCUAAGGUAGCGAAAUUCCUUGUCGGGUAAGUUCCGACCCGCACGAAAGGCGUAACGAUUUGGGCACUGUCUCAACGAGAGACUCGGUGAAAUCAUAGUACCUGUGAAGAUGCAGGUUACCCGCGACAGGACGGAAAGACCCCGUGGAGCUUUACUGUAGCCUGAUAUUGAAAUUCGGCACAGCUUGUACAGGAUAGGUAGGAGCCUUUGAAACGUGAGCGCUAGCUUACGUGGAGGCGCUGGUGGG
rnacentral:rRNA from 1 species